rnacentral:rRNA from 1 species
UACGUAGGGACCAAGCGUUGUCCGGAAUCAUUGGGCGUAAAGAGCGUGUAGGCGGCUUGUUAAGUCUUGCGUGAAAUCUCGGGGCUCAACCCCGAGCGGUCGUGAGAAACUGGCAGGCUAGAGUGCGGGGGAGGAGAGUGGAAUUCCUGGUGGUAGCGGGUGAAAUGCGCAGAUAUCAGGAAGAACACCCGUGGCGAAGGCGGCUCUCUGGAACGCAACUGACGCUGAGACGCGAAAGCGUGGGGAGCAAACAGG